CCUACGGGAGGCAGCAGUGGGGAAUAUUGGACAAUGGGGGAAACCCUGAUCCAGCGACGCCGCGUGAGUGAAGAAGUAUUUCGGUACGUAAAGCUCUAUCAGCAGGAAAGAAAAUGACGGUACCUGACUAAGAAGCCCCGGCUAACUACGUGCCAGCAGCCGCGGUAAUACGUAGGGGGCAAGCGUUAUCCGGAUUUACUGGGUGGAAAGGGAGCGUAGACGGCAGCACAAGUCUGGAGUGAAAUCCCGGGGCUUAACCCCGGAACUGCUUUGGAAACUGUGCGGCUGGAGUGCAGGAGGGGUAAGCGGAAUUCCUAGUGUAGCGGUGAAAUGCGUAGAUAUUAGGAGGAACACCGGUGGCGAAGGCGGCUUACUGGACUGUAACUGACGUUGAGGCUCGAAAGCGUGGGGAGCAAACAGGAUUAGAUACCCUAGUAGUC
rnacentral:rRNA from 1 species